AGUUUGAUCCUGGCUCAGAUUGAACGCUGGCGGCAUGCUUUACACAUGCAAGUCGAACGGCAGCACGGGAGCUUGCUCCUGGUGGCGAGUGGCGAACGGGUGAGUAAUGCAUCGGAACGUAUCCAAUAAUGGGGGAUAACGCAGCGAAAGCUGUGCUAAUACCGCAUACGCCCUGAGGGGGAAAGUGGGGGACCGCAAGGCCUCACGUUAAUGGAGCGGCCGAUGUCAGAUUAGCUAGUUGGUGAGGUAAGGGCUCACCAAGGCGACGAUCUGUAGCUGGUCUGAGAGGAUGAUCAGCCACACUGGAACUGAGACACGGUCCAGACUCCUACGGGAGGCAGCAGUGGGGAAUUUUGGACAAUGGGGGCAACCCUG
rnacentral:rRNA from 1 species